CUCGUUUCUCAGUCCCUCUUUUCAGUUUCAUAGCUUCCGCAGUUUACACAUUGAAGGGGUAGCUCUGAAACACCAGCUGAAGCCUGGACGUGUGGUUUUUGAAACUACUAUUCUAUUUCAUGUAAAACAAUUGACUCCUCUUAUGUCCACCCAUCGAUCUUCUUCUCUUUUGAGUUGGGAGUUAUGACCACUUCUGUCAUCACCAUGCUUCUAAGUCGAGUGAUGCUUGGUUCAAUGGCGAGUGUUGUGACGGCGUUAGUUGCUCGACCGGCGGCUACAAUCACGACCUUGCUUUACUACAGCGAUGUCCUCCCUCGGAAUUUCGACUCACGGCGAUUGGAGCGACUGGUUCGGCGUGAUUACCUUGUUCGAGACAAUUACUUCUUCUAUUUUCUUGUCAACUUUUUGAGAUGCUUUUGGUAGCAAGGAACUGACUUGUAUGUAAAUUUGGGUCGUUGACCAGAAUUGAUCAUGUAAUUAGGGGUUCGAUCGAUCUGUUUAUA